rnacentral:rRNA from 1 species
GAUGAACGCUGGCGGCGUGCCUAAUACAUGCAAGUCGAGCGAACAGACGAGGAGCUUGCUCCUCUGACGUUAGCGGCGGACGGGUGAGUAACACGUGGAUAACCUACCUAUAAGACUGGGAUAACUUCGGGAAACCGGAGCUAAUACCGGAUAAUAUAUUGAACCUCAUGGUUCAAUAGUGAAAGACGGUUUUGCUGUCACUUAUAGAUGGCUCCGCGCCGCAUUAUCUAGUUGGUAAGGUAACGGCUUACCAAGGCAACGAUGCGUAGCCGACCUGGGAGGUUGAUCGGCCACACUGGAACUGAGACACGGUCCAGACUCCUACGGGAGGCAGCAGUAGGGAAUCUUCCGCAAUGGGCGAAAGCCUGACGGAGCAACGCCGCGUGAGUGAUGAAGGUCUUCGGAUCGUAAAACUCUGUUAUUAGGGAAGAACAAAUGUGUAAGUAACUAUGCACGUCUUGACGGUACCUAAUCAGAAAGCCACGGCUAACUACGUG